rnacentral:rRNA from 1 species
CCUACGGGUGGCAGCAGUGAGGAAUAUUGGUCAAUGGACGAGAGUCUGAACCAGCCAAGUAGCGUGAAGGAUGACUGCCCUAUGGGUUGUAACCUUCUUUUAUAUGGGAAUAAAAUGUUCCACGUGUGGGAUUUUGUAUGUACCAUAUGAAUAAGGAUCGGCUAAUUCCGUGCCAGCAGCCGCGGUAAUACGGAGGAUCCGAGCGUUAUCCGGAUUUAUUGGGUUUAAAGGGAGCGUAGGUGGAUUGUUAAGUCAGUUGUGAAAGUUUCCGGCUUAACCGUAAAAUUGCAGUUGAAACUGGUAGUCGUGAGUACAGUAGAGGUGGGCGGAAUUCGUGGUGUAGCGGUAAAAUGCUUAGAUAUCACGAAGAACUCCGAUUGCGAAGGCAGCUCACUGGACUGCAACUGACACUGAGGCUCGAAAGUGUGGGUAUCAAACAGGAUUAGAUACCCUAGUAGUC